GACGAACGCUGGCGGCGCGCUUAACACAUGCAAGUCGAACGGAAAGGCCUGCUUUCCCUUGUGGAUUGCGGGUACUCGAGUGGCGAACGGGUGAGUAACACGUGAGUGAUCUGCCCCCAACUUGGGUAUAAGCCUGGGAAACUGGGUCUAAUUCCCGAUAGGACUGCAGGGUGGUGCCUGUGGUGGAAAACGAUUUUCUAGUGGUUGGGGAUGAGCUCGCGGCCUAUCAGCUUGUUGGUGGGGUAAUGGCCUACCAAGGCGGCGACGGGUAGCCGGCCUGAGAGGGUGGACGGCCACAUUGGGACUGGGAUACGGCCCAGACUCCUACGGGAGGCAGCAGUGGGGAAUAUUGCACACUGGGCGGAAGCCUGAUGCAGCGACGCCGCGUGGGGGAUGACGGCCUUCGGGUUGUAAACUCCUUUCGACCGCGAGGAAGCCACCUGGUUGGAAGGGUGGUGACGGUAGUGGUAGAAGAAGCACCGGCUAACUACGUG
rnacentral:rRNA from 1 species